CAACGCGAAGAACCUUACCAAGGCUUGACAUGGAAAUGACCACUUCAGAGAUGAAGGAUUAUCUUCGGAUACAUUUCACACAGGUGGUGCAUGGUUGUCGUCAGCUCGUGUCGUGAGAUGUUGGGUUAAGUCCCGCAACGAGCGCAACCCUUACGUCCAGUUGCCAGCAAGUGAAGUUGGGCACACUGGAGGGACUGCCGUGGAGAACACGGAGGAAGGCGGGGAUGAUGUCAAAUCAUCAUGCCCCUUAUGUCUUGGGCUACACACGUGCUACAAUGGGAGCAAACAGAGUGAAGCAAAGCAGUGAUGCGGAGCGAAACACGAAAGGCUUCCCCAGUUCGGAUUGAAGGCUGCAACCCGCCUUCAUAAAGUUGGAAUCGCUAGUAAUCGCGGAUCAGCAUGCCGCGGUGAAUACGUUCCCGGGCC
rnacentral:rRNA from 1 species